rnacentral:rRNA from 1 species
UACGUAGGGUGCGAGCGUUAAUCGGAAUUACUGGGCGUAAAGCGUGCGUAGGCGGUUCUGCAAGUCAGAUGUGAAAUCCCCGGGUUUAACCUGGGAAUGGCAUUUGGGACUGCAAGGCUUGAGUGCGGCAGAGGAGACUGGAAUUCCCGGUGUAGCAGUGAAAUGCGUAGACAUCGGGAGGAAUACCGAUGGCGAAGGCAGGUCUCUGGGCUGACACUGACGCUCAUGCACGAAAGCGUGGGGAGCAAACAGG